rnacentral:lncRNA from 1 species
GGAGAACUAAGGGAGGAAACAUUUCUUUGUGGCUAUUUGGUGAGAAUAAGCAGGGAGACUUUGAAGUUCCCUAGUUCAUUUACAUCACUGGGGUUUAAUCAGCUUACUCCACAUAGAAACGCUCACUUUAAAAUAUAAGCACGUAGGUGUACGAGCAUGUGAUGUAAGCCCACAACUUGCGUACACCCUACAGGUUCAAAUGAAAAUGAAUGAAAAUCUUCAUUCUUUUAAAAAAGAACAUAGCCUUGAUAGAAAAGAAAUAAAAGAAUUUUAAUAUGUUGCCAAGAAUAAAAUUUCAGUAAAUAGAUUAUUGCCAUUUAGGGGAAUAUUUCAGAGGACUCUUCUACGUGUUAUUAAUAGUUACAUAUGGCAUAAACACUGGGAAAAGUAUAGCUAUCUGUAAUUAUGUUUUCACAAACUAAUCUGGCUUAAUUAAAAAUGACAAUUUCUGUUCCUUUUUUUUAACAAGUUCCAUGGACAUCUUGAACACAAUUUCCUCAUUGGUUUUAAUGUAAACAUUGGCUUAAUAUUAGAAGGGAUGAACAAAAUGGGGAACUAGUAAGAGGGAAUUGGAGAUAUUGCAUUAUUUUGCCUGAAAAAUAGUUGCAACUAUUCUUAG